rnacentral:lncRNA from 1 species
UCUCUUCUCACCUAGCACUUUUACAGCAAUCAACUCAACCUAAAAAACUAACAUAAUAACAACACCUUCUUCGAUGCCUUCGAUCUUAUUUAUACUUAUCCUUAAAUUUGAUUAGUCGCCACUUAAGUCUUUCUUAGCUUGCCACAUCCUACUUACACUUUACACAUGUCAAACUAUAAUUCAUCAGGCCAUGCAAACAACUUAAGCAUAACACAUAGUCAGAUGUCAACUCAAGAUUAGACAUUCAUUUCACAUGCUAAACUUAUCUUCAUCGAAGAUCUUUUAACUCGUUACACAAAAAAUGUGUACUUUUCCUCUAGUCUCAACCAACACAAUCUGAAUAUCGCUUGAGAGCUAUUUACAUUUCUCUCUCUUCUUUAAAUCUUGAGCAAACACGGUCUUGAGAUCGUCCAAAUUCUUAACUUUCUAAGCUUUUGGUCCUUUAUCUCAAUCAAACAAGCAUCGAGAUGGCUCCAAGAUUUCACUUCUAAUCUUUAACCUUCAACACUUGGCUUCUUAGCUCCUUAACCAAUCACUUAGCUUUUAACACAAUCACUUAGCUUUUUAAUCAUGAUCCCUUAUAUUCUUAAAAAAAUCUUCUUAAAAACUCCUAUUUACCAAAAUGACCUUUAAAUUCAAGCACAUGUCUCACAGAAUGCCUAAAUGGAGUCAUGAAGGGAACUUUCAAUAACAUAGACUCUGGAGCACAUCCGUGAGUGGAUGCAGGUUUGAUUUUAUGUUUAGAGGAUACAAAUAAUGACUUGCACAACCAUUGUAUCUGAUUUUUUGAUGUCAUUAAUCAAAGAAGCUGAAGUUAUGUCUAAAACUUAUUGAGCAUCAUCAAUGGACUUGUAUACGAUUAAUGUUGACAAUGAAAACUUAGGGGGUAGUAGAUCUUCGAUCACGAACAUGAACAUGCAUGUAGUUCAAUUGCUUGGAAAUCUUGUGUUCUCAUGCAAUAAAUGUGGUGGCUAUUUGUGUCAUGCCCCACCUCAACUAUCACUCUGUGUGAUCAGAUGGGGGUGUGUUGUCUAGACAUCCCUCGUGUACCUCUUUGCAAAAUGACGCGUCAAACGCCUAGUAAGUGGAACACUCAUUUCACUUGUCUCUUUUCAAAGUUCUUUACUUGAACCUUGUAGACCUUCACAACUCUUUGCAGCAAAAAACAACUCUUAAACUUAGCUCCGUUGUUUGGCAUUUAACACUUAGUUCUAAUCAAUUUUAGCUUCUAAGCAAUAAAAGCACAAAAGAAAUUUCAAUGGAAAGAAUAAAUUUCUUAUCUUUAUUAACUUAACACUUUACACAGAGUUCAUAAAUUACAACAUUUUCCUUUUCUUGCAAGCAUACAAAUAAAAUCAAGUCUGAUCUACACUUCUUCUUUCCUCCCUCAAGGUGUUUCUCUUCGCACCAAGGUGUUUAGAAGUAUAAGACUCCUUUUCUUUCUUCGCCGCCUAAUGCUACUUCUUGAGACAGGGUACCUAGAGGUGUAAAGACCUCAUUUCUUCCUUCACCUCAAUUGCCCAAAUACUCCAAUCUUGAAGACACCCUUUAGAGCUUCAUUUUCCUGACUCAAUUCCUUGGCUCUCUCGCUCUCUGGAUGUGGCUUUACCAACCUAGGUGUAGCACUCGUCUUCCUUCUGAACUAAGCCAUAUGCGUUAAGGAGUGAUGCACUUACCAACCGACUCCUUAAACACAAGACAAGAUGACAUUGCUCUUUUAUGCACAAGUUUUCGUAACAACCCCGCAUUCUCUCCUUUAUUUGACUUUCACACUUGAGAUCUGAUAACUUGUAGAAAUGCAAGUUAUUAUGGGCUUUUAGGUAGAAUAAUGGAACCAAAACACAUGAUUAUGUGUCAAAACGACUAGCUUUUAUUGCAAAUUCAUAAAUAUUAGAGAAUACAACUGGCACAAGUUUCCAUGCCUGCUUUACCCUGGUUUUAAGUGUUUUAUCCCAGGAUUCUAGAUAAAAGAAGAGAUGGUGGAUUGCAAAAGAGCGCAUGCUACACGAUAAGAAGAUUUCCUAGUGAUCAGAUGUCUCUAGGAGAGGAACCACGUCAUCGCGCAAUGAAGAUUCACUAGUAAACAAGAAUGGUAGUUGGUUGGAGUUUAUAAGACUUGAAAAAGGUUGCAAUUGGCCCUGAUAUGAUCAAAAGAAUAGAAGCUUCCCGUCGAAAGUUGCCUAUAUAAAUCCUCCUUUUAUAACAAGUGAACUGUCUAGUUUGGAAGGGCCAAAACCUAAAGAGCUGGUAGAAAGAACUAGUCUUUAUGUCGUCUGUAAAAAAGCAUAUUUUUCUUCUCUUACUAUCUCACCAGAUAAUCAAUGGCUUCUUGACUCUGCCUGUUGCAACCAUAUGCAUAUGAAUUUUCUCUCAUCUCUACUUCUAAUCAUGCAAAAGCUUUACCUCCUAUUUAUGCUACUGAUGGUAACUGUAUGAACAUCUCUCAAACUGGCACCACUGAAACUCUCAAUCUAAGUCUUUCCUAUACUUAUUAUGUCCCAAACUUAACAUGUAAUCUAGUGUCUGUUGGUCAAUUAUGUGAUCUUAGCUUAACUGUUUCUUUUUCUCUUAAUGAUUGUCAUGUUCAGGAUCUGCAAAUGGGACGGACGAUUAGCACGGGUUGCAAAGUGGGAAGAUUAUUUGAGCUCAUGUCACUUCAGCUUCCUUAUCCUUCCUUCAUCUCUACUCCUGUCACUGAUUCUGACACAUAUCAAUGGCAUCUUCGUCUUGGUCAUGCUUUUUCUGAAAAACUUCAUCAUUAAAUUUAUGUUAACAAUUUGAAUAAUGUUACUAAGUUUGUUCAUUUUAAUUGCUUAAAUUGCAAACUUGCUAAGCAACAUGCUUUAUCUUUUUCUCAAUCCACUUCUAUAUGUGAUAAACCAUUUGAUUUAGUUCAUUAUGACAUUUGGGGUUCUGCCACUACUACUAUUGGUCAUGGUUAUCGCUAUUAUGUUUUGUUCAUUGAUGAUUACUCUCGAUUUACAUGGAUUUAAUUUCUUAAACAUCAUUCUGAAUUAUCUCGCACGUAUAGUGAGUUUGCUAACAUGAUUCAUACUCAAUUUUCUUGUCCUAUCAAAGCUCUUCAAUUGAUAAUGCUUUGGAGUAUAAAGACUCCACUCUUCUUUCCUUUCUCUCCCAACAUGGCACUCUUGUCGUGAAACGCCAAAAUUUCUUAAACCCUUGGAAAUUAUUAAGUUGGUCAAUGAUAGUGGAAAAUGGUCCUUUUUUUUUUAGAGAAAAGAAUAAAAAGACAUGAAAUUUAAGUUGAGGUUUGAGGAAAAGAGAGAAGUUGGAAAUUUUGGCUAAAUGUCAAUUGUUAAGUCAUUAGGCGUUUGGAGGUUGUUUGGGCGGUCAAGAAAAGGAAAGAACCUCUAAAGAGGUUAUUUGAUGUCUUGGAGAUGUGUCUAGGUGUUUUGGGAUGGCUUGGUGAAAUGGCUUUUAUCAUGCGUUUGGAGGUUAUUUUGUUAACUCGUGGCUAAGCGAGAAGAACCUCCAAGUGGGCGUCAUUAGGCGAGAAGAGUGCUAUGCGACAAGACAUAGAGAUUAGUAAGGGGUUUUAGGAGUUUUUAAGGUUGGCAAGAAAGAAAGAUCAUAGAGGUUAGGCGUUUUGUGUUGGGGUGAAGCUGCUCUUACAUCUGUCUAUACCAUCAAUAGUCUUCCUUCUUUUGUUCUUCAAACAUCUCUCCAUUUGAAAGAUCACUAUAUCGUACUCCUCCUAACUAUUCUAACCUAAUUAAAGUUUUUGGUUGUGUCUGCUUUGUUCUUCUGCAUCCUCACGAACACACUAAACUUGAAUCAUGUGUCCACCUUCGUUGCUUUCUUGGCUAUGGCACAAAACAUAAAGGUUUUCGUUGUUGGGAUUCUCUUUUCAAUAGACUUUGUAUAUCUCGACAUGUCACUUUUUGGGAACAUACUAUGUUCUUUUGUUUCUCCUCCUUCCACACCUCCUUUUCAAGUCCUCAUCCUUUCUUCACUGAUAUAUCUGUAGAUCUUUUUCCUCUUUCUGAGUCCACUCUUGAUACUAAGCAUGCUCAAUCUGGACCUGCUCCAGCAAAUCCAAACCAGUCAUUUGUCUCCAAUGAUGUUUCUAAACCUACUCCAGAUACUCCUCUUCGUCGUUCCACUCGGCUAAGGGAACCUCUCAUCCAUCUCCAUGAUUAUCAUUGUUUUUUCACUAUUGUUUCCCUUAUUGAACCCACCUCUUAUCAAGAGGCCAGUACUGACCCUUUAUGACAGAAAGCAAUGAAUGAUGAAUUAGAGGCUAUUAAAAAAACGCACACUUGGAACUAUGUUGAUUUACCUCUCGAUAAAAGACUCAUUAGAUGCAAGUGAAUUUACAAAAUCAAGACUCACUCUUAUGAUACUAUUAAGCGUUAUAAGGUCUGUCUUGUUGUGAAAGGAUACUCACAAGAAUAUGGGAUUGACUAUAAAGAAAUAUUUGCACUUGUGGCUCAAAUAACAUCUAUUAGUUGUUGCUACUGCCAAGCAGUGGCCUCUUCUUCAGAUGGAUGUCAAAUUAAAAAUGUCUUCCUUAAUGGGACCUUUUCUGAGUUUAUAUGAAGCCACCACCUGGUACUUUUCCUCCUUCUAAGAAGGUGUGCCUCCUACGUCGUGCAUUAUGGUUUGAAACAGACUCCACGAGCUUGGUUUGUCAUAUUUAGCACCACCAUUACUCUUUGAAUUUGCCUCUAGCUCUCAUGACACUACGCUCUUUACAUGUCAGACACCCUAUGGUAUCGUUCUUCUUCUUCCUUAUGUUAAUGAUAUGAUUAUUACUAGUAAUUAUCCACAGGCCAUAUUCGACCUACAACAUUAUCUUGGUCAACAUUUUGAGAUGAAAGACCUUGGAUCUCUCAACUACUUUCUUGGCCUUGAAGCCUCUUGGUGCUUAGAUGGAUAUUUGUUGUCUCAAGCAAAAUAUGCUUAUGAUCUUUUAGCCCGCUCAAGAAUCAUUGACUCCAACACAAUUUCAACAUUAUUAGAUCUCAAUGUCCAUUUAACCGCUUUUAAUGGUGUUCCUAUUGAAGAUACGAGUUUAUAGCAGCAACUUGUUGGUAGUUUUAUCUAUCUAACAGUAACGCGUCCAGACAUUGUUUAUGUUGUUCAUACUGUUAGUCAGUUUAUGGUUGCUCCUCGAACCAUCCAUUUUACUAUCGUUUUGUGCAUCAUUUGCUAUGUCAAGGGAACUUUAGGGCAUGAUCUUCCGAUUUCUUCUCAAUCCUCUUUUAGGAGAUUCUGAUGCAGAUUGGACCGGUAAACCUACUUAUAGAAGAUCUACAAUUUUAAGAGUAUCCAUAUUAUUUUAACGUUUUGAGCAUUCUUAAAUUUUUUGAAAGUUUAGAAUUAAACUAUAAAAUAGCUUAAAAAAUAAACUUGAUUUGAGGGAAGGUGUAAAAGAAAAAACUAUUUCCAUGACAUCUUCAUAAAAUUGAGAACGGAAGAAAUUGGAUGGGUCGACGGCGAAGGGACACCAAAAGCAAGAAUAUUGUUCAUCAAUCUUAACUGGGGACUUCCAUCUCCAAUUCCUUCGCCUCUUUCAAUUUCAAAUCUUUCAAUUUUCGAUUCCAGUUCCCAAUUUCUGAUGGGUACAGCGGGUAGUGAUGUAGAAGCAGGGUUUGCCAAGCUUCAAGGUGAGGAUUUCGAAUACUAUAUGCAAACCUACUCCAUAAUCCUCGGCCGGAAUUCCAAGAAAUCCACCGUUGACGUUGACCUCUCUAGCCUCGGCGGCGGUAUGAACAUAUCUCGCCACCACGCUCGUAUCUUCUACGAUUUCACGCGCCGCCGAUUUGCCCUCGAAGUUCUCGGCAAAAAUGGAUGUCUCGUUGAAGGGGUUCUUCAUUUGCCUGGAAAUACCCCGGUUAAGCUCGAUUCUCAAGAUCUUCUUCAGAUUGGGGAUAAGGAGUUCUAUUUUCUUUUGCCGGUGAGGAAUAUUUUGGGUAGUUCGGUUGGGCCGAGGAGCUAUAUGGGUCAUCCUGGAUCGGCGUCGACGGGCCCUGCCGUUGCUGGGCCGGUGGUGCCGCCGCAUUCGCACUAUAAUUUUCAUUUGUCUGGCUCUGGAGGAGCCGCUACUGCAGGGGCGAUGGUGAAAAAAGGGAGAGGAAGAGAGUAUUAUGAAGAGGGAUAUGAGGAUGAGGAUGAUAUUGGUGGAAGUAGUGGCAAGAAGUUCCGGCGAGAGGGAUAUGGAGCUGGUGGUUCUGGAGGCAAAGCCGGAUUUUCUGGCGGAUUGGGUUAGCAUCUUUACUGUUUUCUCCGUGCAUUUUUUUAUUGACUGUUUUUAGAGGUUUAGAGAAAUCUACGUUCAAGUUCUUUUUUGUGUCACUUUAAUUUCGCUAUUAAACAAUUGAAUAUGGAAGUAGAAAAUUCUUUAAUCAUGGUAGAGUUAUCUCAUAGUGCUAGAUUUUAUUGUGAACUGCCAGAAAAUUUUGGCUUUAUUUUGAUGAGAAGCCGUUUUAUGGAUCAUUGCUGGAGUUUAUGUGAUGUUCAGCUAAGUUCAAUGUCUAUACCUUUGUCUUUGCGUUUUUAGUUGUCUCCUUGGUCUCUGAGUUGCUUAAAGUUGAUUGAAGAGAUUUUUUUACUUCACGAUUCUGUGAAUUUAUGAUGUGUUUUCUUUGAUGCGUUUCUUCGAUGUAUUUAUCCUGAAUCUGAUUGUUUGGAUUAGAGCUAGUGAAUGUCUAUAUUUUUUAUUUUCUAUUUUUUGCUUUAUAAUUCCAAGAAGAUCAAUGAGUAGACAGACAGUCACAAGAACGACAUGGAAGUCUUUAAAUCACUUGUGGGUUAGAUUUUGGAUUCCAUAUAAUACUUCUAAUCAUGUAAUUAGCUUCUCAAAUUGUUGUCCUAGUAUGGCUUUGGUUUACAUCCUAUUCUUAAAACUUUAUAUUUUCCCAGAUUUUAUGUGCCCAAUUUGUUUUAGGAACAGAGCUUGAAUACUUCGGUUGAGUGUGAUAAGGGCCUCCUGUACAUUUCUUGUUUAGAGAAAAAUCUCAAGAGAGAAAUUUGUUAAUCUGUCGUUGAAUUUGGGAUUUUGAAUAUGUCCUCUACUUGGUCUGUGCUAACUGUUCUUGUUAAGUACUAUGUCUUGGGAAUAAAUGCUAAUUGGGAUUACUUCUAUGAUCAUGUUUGGCCUCUUACUGGGAUUCUAUUUAAAAUAUUUCCUUCCUGUAUGAUGACUACUUUUGUUUCUUCCUCCCGUCGAAAUUUUUUGUGUGUUAUCUGACAAGGGAAAAGAAAUUUGCAAACUCGUUCCUUCCUGUUCAUGAUUAUGGAUUUUUUAAAAAGAAUUGAUAUGUAUUUUCAUAUUCUGAUUAAAGUGAACAUAACAAUUGAAUUAGUGCCUACAUUGAACUAUUAUUGCAUAACCAUUUGGUAUACUGUCUUUCUCUUGUGCCAUAAUUUACAGUUUCCAUGGACAAGAAGUUAGAUGGAAGAUCAAGAGUCGAUCGAGAAGCUGAUAAUCAGCUUCUUCAGGAAGAAAAGGAUGUGGUGUCAUCGGUUGCUAAUGUGCUGUCUGAUCUUUGUGGCCCGGGAGAAUGGAUGCCUAUGGAGAAACUCCACUCUGAGGUAUGUUUGUGAAGGAUUCUCUUGAUCCUUAUUUAAAUAUGAAAGUCUUAUGCCUAUACCUGUAGAAAAUAAGAAAAUAUGGGAGUUUGGAUAAAGUAUAUCGUUUAAAAGUGACCAAUUAAAUUUGUAGGACUUCUUAUACAAAAGAAAUAAAUUGUACAGAUAUGAAAUGUUCCUUAUCCAAAAAAAAAUGUUGUAGGACUGAUACUUUCUGAUUACACUAUGCUGUUGAAUCUUUAUUGUUUAGUUAAAGCAGAGACUAUUACAAGGUUAGGAAAUGUAAGUUAUUAGGUAAAGAUGGGAAAAAUAGGUUGAGUAGGCAUUUUAGUAUUGCUUUUGGGGUUGCUCUUUCUUUAUACGGCUUUAUUUUCCUGUCCCCCACGACUACUAUUGUGUUCAGCAUCAAACUAUACAGUUCUCAUGUCCACUUAUUAGCGUUUUUACUAAUGCUAUCAUCUACUCUUUGAGCUGCAUACUUAAUGAUACCAAAACCCAAAACUCAGCUUUCUAAAUAAAUGGUAAGUUAGAGCUUGAAAUUACUUAUCAAAGUUCUGGCGAUGGGAUAUCUGUAGUUAUUCAAAAUUUUCCUCUUUUCAUUUAAGGGACUGGCCAGCUUUCAUUUGCAAAUGCUUGGACGUGGAAAAAAUCGACACCCAAAUGAUAUGUUAUCGCCAUCAUCAAAAUAUGAUUUCCCUUUCACUACAGACAUUUUCAUUUAGCUCUGGGAUCGUUGGAGAUCUUUGGGGGUUGGUGGGGGAUGGGGCAAUCUUUGUCGGAGGAGAUGCUUUUGCAUCCUUCCUUAAGAGAGAAGGGUAUAGUGCUGUGGCAUGCCAAUUUCUUUGCCAUUUUGUGGGGUAUUUGACUUGAGCAGAUAGUAGGAUCUUUAAAGAUGUCUUUUACCGUCAUUUCAUUUUUUAAAGAAAAAUUACUUGAGUCCACUCCAAUUACACUUAUCACUUAUGUUUGUGUAACCAACUCAAGUGUCCAAUCACAAGUUGUCACAUGACAAGCUUUUCUUUUCUCAAAAUAUUAUUUUUCUUUUUGAAUGUUCACAUUUUUCUGAUUUGUGUUAUUGGCAGCUGGUUGAGCAUUAUGGCAAUGUUUGGCACCAUAGUCGUGUAAGAAAGUACCUAACAUCAGAGGAUUGGCACGGUCCAGAAGCCAAGGAUAAACCGUGGUAUGGCCUGCUUAUGUUGUUGAGAAAAUACCCUGAACACUUUGUGAUUAACACGAGAUCCAAAGGCCGAGUAACGCUCGAAUUCGUCUCACUCGUCUCACUGCUCUCCUAGAGCCAGAAACUAGAAUAGGGGUUUUCCUGGGAUCUGGGUGUUUUGACAUAACCACAUAUGUAAUGAGAUGACAUUCUAGCUUUUCGCUUGCCAUUCCUUACCUCUGUCCAACAUGAAGUGAUUUUAUGAAACUCAAUAUAUGUAAAUUAUAAUUCCUGCUAUCAAUCUGAAAUAGUUUUUUCAUCUAAAUUAACUUUUUGUAGAUGGAGGUUUUAACCGCCGAAGGUUUCUGACUUUGUUCAUUUGUCCAGAUUAUUGAAAUAUCACUGCUCAUUUGCACUUAUAAACAAGUUGUUUCUUUAUGGCUUCAUUUGAUAAUCUUUUUAUUUUCUAACUUUCAUAAUCAAAUUUAUAAAUAUUACUUCAACUUUUGAGUUCAUUUUGUCUUAUCAUUUGUUUUGUCAUUGAUCGAAGUUUUGGUUCUGUAUGGAAUAUGAAUCUAAAAUCAAUUGUUUAUUGUUUUUUUUCUAAGGCCCGAAAUCCUCGUGAAGAUUUCUCUUGAUGAAAAUCCUUCCUUUUGGGCUGAAAACUUCUCAUUUCAAUCGUUACUGGUCCGUAGUGAAAUAAAAGAAUUUAAAUAGGAUUUAGUUUGUCUUUUAUUUUCCUAAAAGUAUUGUUUUUAAAAAAAAAAAAAAAAAAUCUAAUGUGAAAAUACUGUGGUAUACAAAGAGACCUUCAAAUAAUAGCAGUGAAGACCAAUAAUAAAGACAUUUAACUUUGAACGUAAGAUGGCUAAUCUUCUUCCUCAUCUAUCACCGUAAAUCACGAUAGGAGCCAUCUUGCGUCUUGAGUAUGUCUUGUAUCAGCACCUAUCACCGUAAAUCACUCCAUCAAUCGGCUCAACGCCUUAAAGAUUUGCCUAGACUACUAAAAUGAUGUACAUCCAAAAUUUCCAUGAGGUUGAUGUGCCCAGCCCAAAAACUAAAAACACCAAAUUUGCAGGUCGCCAUACUUGAACUGAGAUGUUAGAGAUGGGAGAACUAAUUUUUUUUCCUCUUGAAUCUCAAGAUGUAGAGGCAACUGGUUCCACAUCUUCUAGAAAUGAGGGGUCAAUGAACUUGUCAUGUCUUUUGUUAGAGUCGUCAUUCCCAGGCGAAGAAAGUUCAGACUUCUUUGAUUCUGGGCUGAGCCUUUUCUGUUCUGAAGAUAAUGAUGAUAAAUAACUCAUACGAUCUAAAUGGGACGUAACAGCAUUUGUCAAGUUGUAUAGAAGAGAGACUUACUUCUAUUAGUAAUCGUGUUGCGAGUCAUUGCUAGAAAUUCGUCCCAAUUAAACUUUCUCAGUUCUUGCUUCUCCUCUUCUGGGAGCUCAAAGUUGGGUUCCCUUCCACACAUGAAAGCAGCCCUAGGAUAGCAGAAGACUGAUGUUCAGCUCAUUCGGGUUGUUCUUUUUUUUCCCCUCGUUUUUUAAAAUGCUAAAAAUAUUGCUUUCAAGUAUAAAUUGAAUAGCAUAUUAUCCGGUUAAAACAUUGGUCACAUUUGAUGACCUUUGUUGUUUAUCUUAAGAACAAAGUCCCAUUCAUCAAUCGGCUGAAAAUUUGGGUCACUUCAAGACUCUACCUGUCAUACAAAUGAGCAGCCUCUUCUUGUGAUCCUACAGUUCCCAAGUGUAUUUGUUUUUUGUCAACCUUUAUAGCAGCCUGCCAUUUCAUGUUCUUGAAAUAAACACCUCUCAUUAAGAAAGAUUCGUCAGGAAAAUGCUUUCUCCGGUGUCUCUUUCUGCGCUUUACAGGAGGGUCUGCAGAUAGAAUAGCAUGAAGUUUGAGUCAUAAUAAUAUAUCAUGAUUAUAUUAUGACUAAAUAUAGAUUAAAAGAAUCAUCUCUCAUCUCUGAAUGUUACAAUUAAUAGUAGAUGUCGCUUUAAAGUUCUGUGAAGAAAAAAAUCAUCACAUCUUCCUAGCAGUACACUUAAGAUAUAAGGCCACAGAAAAAAGAAAUGGGUUAUCAGAUAUUUUACUCCUUCUGUUAGUAGAACUGCUAAAUUACUCCAACUGGGACUAGAAAAGCUCUGAUGGUUAUAUAGUAUUUUGGAAAUGGGGGCAACAUGGAAAAGGAAACCUAUAUCGUUUACAAAGUGACAGCUUCACAUACAAGCAAAACAGCCAAUGGACCUCUCUACAAAUCCAUUACUGAUCCGAACCUACAAGAUUAAAAAAAAGUAGAUAUAACUUAUUUUUUUAGCUAUGCUCAUGUCAGACCCAUUAAGAAGACAGAUGUUUAUCCAUCUACAAGGCAAAUGCAAUGUGAACUACCCCACCCUUCCCCACCCAAAUAUGAAUCAAUAGCAUAAAAUAUAACAAACAAUCUCACAUCAAAGGAUCGACUUAUAUCCUUACUAUUCUAAUAUCACAUCUAUUCAUGUAACUUAUGGAUGUGAAGGGAUGAUUUGAAGCCAAACAAACCUGCAAUUGGCUCGUCGUUUGUCGUGUCAAUUUGCUCUUUUGAUGUAUCCAAAACAGAUACCCCUGAUGAUUCGGGCUCUAUAUUUGCAGUUGGAUUCUGAAAAACGUCAUAUUAUCGAGAUGAGCAUCCAGCAAUCAGCAGACAUGCUAUGUACUAAAAGACAAACCAGUUUUGCAUUGGGAGAAAAAAGGAAAGUGAAGAAAAAGGAUAAUUAAUCUUCUUUUACUUAUGGAACAUGCAUAGCAUUCCCAUAAGAACAUUGCAAGACCUCCAGCGAAUAAGGUUCUAUGUCAAACUUAAACCAGUACUAACUGAGAUGAUGAGCAUUUAUUAAAAGGUAAGACUUAUGUUACGGGUGCAUAUGAGCCAUUUUAUCCAGAUUAGCAUCAUGUAGAUUACGCCGUGACUAUAUAAUAAGAAGCUUGAUGAGAUUAAUACUUUUGCCUUUGGUGGUAAAGGGUAAGUUCUUUGGAGUUGCGCUACACAGUCUCUCUUUUGGUGCCUUUGGAAAGAAGGAAUGGUAGAACUUUGUAAGUAUAUUUCUUUUGAUUUUUUUUUUUUUCCUUUUUGGCUUUUAUUAAACAUACAUGAUACAUCUACUUGGUGAUGUUGAAAUUAUGCCAAAUUAUUUUGUAGUUAAUCUUUUAACAAUUGGAAGGCUCUUCUUCACAAGUGCUCUACGAGGGGUCCUCUGAUCCCCUCGCCCUUAGGUUGUUCCUUUGGUUUCUGAUGAAAUAUACAUGGUUGUUUCUGAUAAAGAAAAACCAUUAUGAAGGUUACUGGAAGUGCGAAUACUUUAUAAUCCGCCAUAUCAUCUCAUGACAUUUCUUAUUAGAGCUAUUCCUUUUUAACCCCCCCCCCCCCAAAAAAAAAAAAACCCUCUACAAGUAACACCCUGCCAAACUUAAAGCAGAUUAAAUGCAAGUUUUGCAAAAUGUACCAAAAUUUGAACGUGAAAUCAAUAAUCAAAUGUCCAUAAUUCUAAGUUUAUUUUGGGACACAGGAGGACACAUAUUCUAUUCAACAAAAAUGACAUACCAAGAUAGGUAAUAUUAUGCAUUACUUGUAAGUUAGCUAUCAUGAAGAAUAUGGGAAUAACUAAUAAUCUUUUCUUAACAUGAGAGUCACAUUUGAGGGAAACUCGUGCAAUCUUGUACAUUGACCUAACACCAAUAUAGUAAUUGCUAUUAAAAAAACAUGUCCAUUUUUAUUUUACAGAUAAUUUUGCCUCAGAUAAGAAUUGUGAAGUACAAAAAAUGCAGCAAAUUAAGCUAUGAAACAAAUAGAAAGAAAUAAGGUUAUAAAGUGGGAAGUUAUGUACUGAGAGAAAUGGUCAAGGUAGGCGGUAGCCAGUUCUUUUAUUAACAAUAUGAUGUAAUUAUGUAGUGAUUAAAGAAAUUGGAAAUCUUAAUCUACUGACCUCCUCUAUCUUGUUAACUUUAUCUGAACAGAUGGGAUAAACCCUAACGAAGCUCGUACAGUGCACAUGAUCUUCAGCAGUCAAAUUUUCAGAAAACUUCAAAACUGGAGCAACAAAUGACGCUUUGCCUAUGAGUCCCACAUGGGUAAGUCAUAUAAUUUUAGUUCCUCUGAGUCAAUUUCAUUCAAAAUCAUGAAUCAAAAGAGCAAAACUAUAUGUAUAUAUAUAAUCUUUAAAAAGUCAGUUCUUCUCAACACAUUAAUUAGCUUAAGCAAAAUGAGCCCUUUUCUCAAUACCAUAGCUUUAAAAAGUAACCUUUACCAGAGUAAAGUCCCAGGAGUUUUCGUCUUCUUAAGCUCACCAUAUUAGCUUUGAUCCUGUUAUCAGUUGUAUUGUUUGGCUUUUUUCCAGGAUCACCUCACAUCUAGACCAGACAAGCAGAACAAGCUCAAUCAGCUUCAAUGAGAAGAAAAAAAAACAUUCCAAAACACUUGCCGACAUGUAGCUAAUAAACUGAUGGAUAAAGCUAAAAGAACAGAGCUUAUUUGAUUAACUGUAUAAAGAAUGCACGUUUCUACAAAUGACCAAUAAGGAUGACCUAUUUUCAAAUUGAUUCAUAUGUUCGAGAGACUCGACCCAAAUGAAUGAAUAGAUUAUGGUGAACUCUCAUCUUCUCUAGCCCAUUUCAGAGAACAUAAUCUACAAGAUUAGUUUUCUUUCUAAUCAAUUUGAAAUUCAUCGCAAACUGACUCUAAAUGAUCCUAGCGUUCAACUUCAUUUUCUUUCUACUGAAGCAAUCUGAAUAGAGUUAAGAUGUGUGCAACAUAAGAUACUAAUAUACAAAUUCAAGCAUCAUAACGUGAAUCACUAAUCAAAAAGUUGUGCCAAGCCAGUUUAAAAUAUCACCACCCGAGAAGCAAUAAAGAGCAAGUACAAAGCUAACAGUUAGCUGUUAAUAAGAACUUGAAUUGAGCAAAAACAAACACAGAACACAGAACACCUAAACCAAUUUGGCUGGCUGCAUCAACAAAUCUAGAUCGUUCAACUGAGCUGAAUACUGCUCAAAGAGUUAAAAGUAUGAACAAACUCAAAACAAAUCGAAAUCUCCCAACUGCCAAGUCAACUUGAAUGUUCAAACCUUCUCCUUCUUGAUCUUCCAUUCAUUUCUAAAACUCCAAUCCCAGACGUUGAACUCAAAAUUCAAUGUAAACGCAAGAGAAAACUAUCAAACUCAUUCUUCUCAUUACAAGUCAACCAAAAAUCCACAGACCCAAUUCAUGAAAUCGUUAAUCUAAACAAACCCAAAACUAAAUAAACGCCAACUCAGAAACCCAAAAGAGAAAACCAACAACAAACAACUCAUCAGCAUUCGAUUCUUCCCGUCAACGCCAAAUGCCGAUAACCGAAAACAGCAAAAGCGAUCAAAUAGAGAGAGUCGCCGUUCGUACCUGAGGAGGAGACGGCAGCGGCGACGGCGUAGAAGAACGAUUGAAAAGAAAAGAAACGAAAAAACUAAGAGGGGGUUGAGAUUAUGAAGAGAAAAAGGAAGGUGGUAAACAUUUUAAAAAAAUUAAGAGAUUAUAUGAAAAAUCCUUAACACAUGCAUCAUCAUCAUCACUAUAAUCUCUACCACCUUUAUAAAAAUUGCAGGUUUUCAAAAAAGAAUUUGUUUUUGUUUGGAGUGAUGAACUUAUCAAUGGAAAUAUAUAUAUAGAGAGAGAGAGAUAGGGAGAGAGUUGAUUGUAGAGAGAGAAAGGUUGAAUGAGAAAAAAGAAUGGCAUAUCUUCUCUGAACUUCAAAAGAAUUUUCAACCAUAGUGUGCAUAUGAAUGCUGGAAAAUUGCCAACAUUUUACACUUUUUUUUCCUUGAAAUUUCAUUGCUUAUGUGUCUAAGAAAGAUCCAUAAUUGUCAACUUUCCACCUAUCAAGAAUUAUAAUAAAAUAAUAGCUACUGAAAUCUAUAUUAGUUCAUAAUAGAAAAAUGCUCACAAUUCAUCAAACACAAAUGAAUAAAACUACACUUUAUUACUUAUUCAAUGUUACAAGUGUGAAUCCUCAAACAGAAAUGGAUCAAAACAAGUUACAUUAGAAGUUACACUAUCUUUAUUAUCCUACAUACUAUAUUACCUUCAACUAAUACAUUUAACAUUUAUUGAAAGUUUAAAGAUUGAAUAUCAAAUUUGGAACAAAAUUCAAAUUAGCAAUUUAUUUUUUAGUUUUCAAUUUGUUUCAAUAUGCAUGUAUACACACAUACCCAUCAACUUUAAAAUCUCAAACCUUAACCAUAGUUUUAAUUGUAUAUUUUAUGUUGAUGUGAUAGAUAAUGUAUAAGAAUAAAAAGGCAUACUUAAUAAUAAUAAAAAAAAAAGACAUUAACAAUAUCAUGUAAAUCUAUAUAUAAAAUUGACGUUGUUUUUGUUAAAGUGAUCUUAAUUUAACGGUGAUUAAUAUUUACUAAAGAAAAUGACAAUUGACAUGUUUAUCCUCUUUGGUUUAAAUUCUCAUACCACUCUUUUUGUACAUAAGAAAACAAAAAUUUAAAAAUAACAUAAUCUAAAAAAUUGAUAGUUGCAAAUUUAAUAAUUAAAUUUAAAAUAAUUAAGUAUAUAAAAACAUUUUAAAAAAUUUAUAAAUAUAGUAAAAUUUGUCUAACUCUAUCUAGUUUUACUAUAUUUGCAAAAGAAAAUUAAUGUUGUUAUUUUCUUAAUUAUUAUUUAUAAAAUGACUAUAAUUAUAAUUAUUUUUAAAAAAUAUAUAAGAUUUUGGAAUAUUUGAAAAAAUUGUUGGUGCAUCGAGACGCCUUGGAAAUUUUUAAUUAAAUAAAAAGUUUUAUUGGCGGAUAUAAGAUUCGAAAAAAUGGUUUGAACAAUUGUUUGGAAGGGUACUAAUUUUAUAGUUAUAUUUUUUUUUUGUUAGAUGAUGGUGUGAAAUUAAUAUCUAAUCUAGAACACGAUUACCCAUAAUGUUCUAAGAAAAAGGGGACAAAGUGUAUUUAAAAAUGAAAUAUGGUAAAAAUCUUAAACUUUUCCUAAAAAAAAAUAGUAAUCCAUAUGGUUAGGAUAUUAUGAUAUGCCACAAUAUAAGAUUUUGAAAAGAAAAUAUAAACAAAAACAAUUCCAAUUCCAAUUAUCUCAAAUAUAAUAAAAAAAUCACAAAAUAUUUACACAAAUAAAAAAAAAAUAUCACUAAAGUUGGACAAUAAUUUUCCACGAUUUUUCUAUUUUUUUUAACAAUAAAGAUAUAAUUAAUCAUAUUAUUUAAAAAAUGUGUAUUAAAAACAUUAUUUAAAGUACAAACGUGUGGCUUUGCAAAGAGAAAGAAUGAGUAAUAGCAAUUGACUCAUUCUAAAGAUGACCUCUAAGUCAACCAACGAGCCCUCCAAUUUAGGAUACAAACCAAAUAAACAAUACAAACUUUCAUAAUUAAAACUAGAAGGAUUAAUUGCACUAAUUUAAAAUCGAAAAUCUUUUUAGUUUAUUAAUCUGUACUUCCUAACAUUCUUUGUUGAUUAUAUCAGAAUUAUAAUUUUAUUCUAUUUUGUUAACUCAAUGUUUGGUCUAUAAUUUAGAUGAUAAAUGAUUAGUUGAGUUAAUAGAUAAAACAUGAAAGUUUAGAGGUAUUAAUUGAUUUUUUUUUUUUUUUCUGAUAAAUUUUAUUUGACUGGGUGAAGGAAAAGGGUGUUUUCGUAAAUUGAAGAAGGGAAUAGGAAUAGAUAAGAAAGGAGAUGUUGGGGAUUUAAGAAAAAGAGGAAGGGUAGUUGUGGAAAGUAAAAUAAUAGUGUGAGUUGGUGGGUACACCGACGAAUGGGUGAUUGGUCUGAUUGGAUUAGUCGGCCAUCCAAUAACCGAUGCCUGCGUUCAGAUUUAUGAGCUUUGAAAAUAGGGUUCACAUGUUGUUACGAUUCGGUUAUCCAAAGUUUCCAACUUUGUUAUAUUUUGUUAGGUUAAAUAAUAACAAGGUCCAGUUAAUAUGUUUUAAUGAUUUAGAGUUGUAUUAUUAAAUUCUUACCAAAAUACGAUGCAUUUAAAAUUUUGUUAUUUUUUAAAAUGUCUUUAAUAAGAAUCAAAAUAAUAAUGAAAAAUGUUGUACUAUUAGUCCUACUUCUCUUUUUCUUUCUUUCUUGUAUGUUAGUAGUUAAAUAAGUGUUAAUAGUCACUACUUUUUCUUUUUGUUCAAUAUUUAUCAUUUUGAUAUUUAUUGGUAGAAUUUUUAUUUUAAAAUUUUCUUAAGAUUUGGUGAGAUUUUACCUUUUAACUUGAAUUUUUUGUUUUUAUUUUGAUGGUUGAAAAAAUUAAGAGUUAGAAAUAUUAAAGAGAAUAAGAGUAUCUAUGUGUAAAAUAAAAUGAUAAUAUAUGUGGGUUCAUAUAGAAACCAUUUUACUUUUUGUUUUUAUUUUUUAAAAAUUAAGUUUAUUUUAUUCGCAUUUCAAUUUUUUUUUAAUACAAAUAUUGAAUUUGAAACCUAACUAAAUAAAUAAACAAGAAAUAAAUUUAAAGAUAGAAAUAGUAUUUAUAAGCUUAAUUUUCGAAACAAAAUUUCAAAUAAAAUUAUCAUAAUGGUAGAUUUUUAAUUUAAAUUAUUUUUACAGUGAGAUAUUAAUGGUUUCAAUUUGAGUACUUCUAAUUUUUUUUUAAUUUUCAACGGAAUUUUUUCAAGUAUAACUUUAACCAUUUUCCUCCAAAACUAAUUUUAAUGUUAUUUUUUUAAAAAAAAAUUAAAGUUUAAGUGUAUUUUUUACUUGUAUAUGAGCAUUUUUUAUAAUUUAGUCUAUACCAACAUUGAUUACUCUUAAAUGUGUAAACUCUCAUUGUAUUUGUUAUUGAAAAAGUGGAGUUAUUUAUAUAAAAUUAAUAAGUUUGUGACUGUUGAAUGAAAUUAGAAUUACAUCUUAUAUUUAAUGAUUAGAAUUCGGAUUAUGUAAUUUGAUAAAAUCUUUUUAAAUAAUAGUUUUUAUUAUUGAAACUAUCAUUAAUAACUUUAUAAAAUUUUAUCAAAUUGUAAAGACUCAGUUAUAAUUGGAGAGUACAAUUAAUUAAUUUAUAGUGAUUAAACUUGUAAAAUAGAAUUUACAAUUAAGGUGUACCUUUUUAAAGUUAGUGGUUGUAUUUUGUAAAGGUAGAUAAAUGGGAUCGUGGUUUUAACUUUUUUUUUUUAUUCAAAAUACAGUUUAUUUAAGAGAAAUUAUAUAUAAAAAAUAAAUAAAACAUCUGAUAAAAUAUUUAUUAAUAUUAAUAAAAAAAAAUGCAAAUGUGAUAAAUUUGGGCUUUAGUGGUUUUGUUUUAUAAAUGUAAAUAGUUUGUGAAUUUUUUCUAUUUUUGAAAAAAAAAUAUUUUUAUUUAAUUUAAAUUCCAAAUUACAUUUUUCUCAACCUAUAUUGUUGAAUUAUUUACACCUUAGGAUUGGAAAUUGGAAAAUGGAAUGCCAUCUAUUUGGGCUUUUACAUUUUUAUUGAAAUCCAAAUUAGUUUGGGCAGAGUCCUUUGACUAGAAAUAUAGGCUACUUGUCAAAAACUUUGUUUCUUACCAAACAAAUAAACAAAUAAUCCUUUGGAAAUUUGCAUCUAAUAGCACAAACUAGAAAAUAAAUAUAAUCUUUCAACAUAAGGAAAUAGUAUUUAUAGAACUAAUAAAUUUUGACCACCAUGUGGUAAUAUAUAGUAUAUAUAAGAGUUGUGGAUGAUGAAAAAAAAAGAAUAUUUUACUUUUUACCUUUUUUUUACGUGGCUAAUUAAUGUAAUUAGGUAGAUGACACUAUUGUCUUUUUCCUUUCUUAUUUUAAUUAUGCUAAUUGAAGUUCUUAUUUUAAUUAUGCUAAUUGAAGAAGAAAUGAGAUGAUUUUAUAAAUUAACUAGGCUAAUUGUAAUUUAUGCAUUAUAACUAAUAGCUUAAGAAUUUCAAACUUCUAAAAGAAAAUCGAAAGUCUUUGUGACUUCUAAAAUAAAAAUAAUUAAUAAUUUAUUUACCUUAUAAGUUAAUUAUAACUGAUGAACAAUUUUAUAGCUAGUUAAGGAAAUAAAAAAGUAUAUUCCAAAUGAAAAGAAUUAAUAACACAAUGAACGAACCUUUAGGAAUUCUAAAUAUGAAUGACUAUAAAACUCUCCUUUCUACCUCCAGUUUGCACACAAUUUGGAUAGUCCUUCAAAUAAAAAGGAAUAUAUUAGUUUCAUUGCAUGUUUCAAGUCGCUCGGUUGUUUAUUUUCUUUCUAUUAUUUUUAUUUCUUUUGGUUUUUUAUGAUUUUCUAGAUGAAUUAUCUCAUCAAAUGAUAUUUUUAAGAAUAUCUAUAUGUAUGACGUAAAUAAGAAAAAAGUUUUGGGUUUGCCACAUUUUCUUAAUUUGUGUUUUAUUAUUCAUUCAUCCACUCUCUUCUCUAGAAGUUUAUAGAAUUUAGUAUGAUAAACUAAUGUAGAAUAAUUAAUUUAUUUUUCAAACGGUUGCAAAGUAAAACUGUCUAGCAUUCACUAUAGCAUUACAUUUUAAGAACUAUUUAUGAGUUUAAUCUUAAACAACAAUCCAGAAGAAAAUUAAUUAAUUGAAAAUGAAAAAAAAGUUGUUAUAAGAAAAAACUCAAACUAGACAAUAAAAUAAAAAUGACACAAAUGUCAUGUGUGCAUGUCACGUGUUAAGAACUAGUUCUUUAUAAAAUGUCAAAUUUUUUCUUUAGUGGUGAUUUCUAUCACUGAUAUCAUGUCUAAUAUGUCAAUAUGUAUUGUUAUGAAUUUGUUACUGGUAACUUGAAUUUUGAAUUUUUAAAUGAUAUAAAUGUUAAUAGCAUAACCUGAAAUCAAUCUUUCAACAAAAGUUGCAACUAUGUCAACUUCAUUUAUAUUGUUAGGAGAUAGUAGCUAUCAUAUGAAUAGUAUGUUAUUAGUGAUUCAAAACUAUUACCGAUAGCAUGCUAAUCUAAUAUCUUUUCCUUUUCCAUUUAUGUUAAAAACAAAGAACCACAAUAUUACUUUAUAGUUGCAUUACCUUGCUAUCAUUGAUAUUUAGUAGUCUAUUAGGGAUACUACUUUUAACUAUUAGUGAUAUCAUUUUGUUGCUAUUGUUGAUAUAUAUUAUUUAGCAAUAGUAACUAUAAAAAAUAUCAAUUGAUGGCCUAAUUAAACAUCGUCAAUUCAAAGUUGAUAUGUUUACCAAGGAGAUAUAUCACUUAUAAAAAAUAUCCUUCUAAUGAUAUCACUUAUAGUUGUUAUUCAACAAUAUUCCUCUAAUGCAAUCAAUGAUAAAUAAUGUUAGUUAUAUCAUUUUACGUUGAUAACAGUAUAGAAAAAUUACUUAUAGUAGCUAUCAGGAAUAUUAAUUGAUAGCAAUAUGAUCGUUGAUAGAAGAAAUCAGUGAUAGAAUUUGAUAUCAUAUUUCUCAAAUUGAAAGUUAUCACUGAUAGCAGUCAUCAUUGAUAGCAACUAUCUAUAACAACUGAUAUCAUAUUUCUCAAAUUGAAAGUUAUUCAACCCUUUUAAUGGCUAUCAUUGAGCAAAGUUAUAACUGAUAGCCAUUAUCGAUUAUAUCAAUUGAUAACGUAUUUCUCAAAUUAAAAGUUUUCAUCGAUAGCAUCUAUCAACGAUAGCAAUGUAUAGAACAACUAUCAAUUGCUAUCAAUGAUAACUUUCAAUUUAAGAAACCUAGAAAAAAAGAUACUCUUAAUGGUGAUAAGUUAUCACUAAUAGUAGCUGUCGAUGAUAACAACAGAUAAAAGCUAUCAGUGAUAGAUUGUAGCUAUUAGUGAUAGCUUUCAAUGUGAAGUAAUCCAGUAGAUGUGUGUGAAAUAAUAAUUUCUCAAAUUCAAAACCAUUAGUGAUAGCAUUUGUCGCUGAUAAUAACAUAUAUCACUGAUAGCAAUUAUCAACGAUAGAUACUAUCGAUGAUAGUUGUUAUCACUAAUAGUUGAUAUCAGUGAUAGUUUUAAAUUUAAGUAUUUUGACAAGAAACGACAGGUGAUUUGAUGUGAGUAUUUUACUAUUUUACUAUUUUUGUGCUAUAUAUGCAAUUAUUUUAUCUAUAUAUAUACUAUUAUUUUAGGUUUUUUUUUUCAUUCAUGCCACUAAUCCUAAUCAAUUUUUGGGUAGAAUUAACCGUACAAAAUAUGUAUAUAUCAUGAAUGUAUAUAGAAAGAAAACUAUUCACUUGCCUUUGUGAACAAGCAUGUGAGAGUCAAAAUAGCAAAUAUAUAUAAAACCUUUUAAACCUUUUUUUUUUAAGUUAAAAUUCCAUCAUAAGUACCUUAUUUUAUUUGUUGUUUUUAAAUUUUAAAAAUCGUAACUUUUUAAAAAAUUACUUUAACCGAAUGAUGAUGUGACUAAUAAUUGAGUUAACUCUUUAAGAGAAUGAUGAUGUGGCUAAUAAUUUGGAUAAUUAAGCUCUAGAUUAUUCUAUCAUAUUAAUUAAAUGAAUAAGUUACCAAUAAAUUUUUUUAUAUCAAACACAAAACAUAAUCAAUACACUUGAAUCAAAUAAAUCUAAAUUAAAACUAAUUUUUUCGCUAAAACUUAAAUCUCUUAGCUCCCCACUAUUUAUUAUUAUUUUUUUCAAAUUGAAAUCUUGAAGCAAAUUAAAAAAAGACACAAAUUAAAAUAAAACUCAUAUUGGUGUCAACAUCUAUGAUAAAGUAAAAUAAAACAAGUACAACAUACGUAUAAAAUAACUCUACAAAACUAAGUAUAAAUAUUUUCACCAGAAAGAAAUAAAUAGGAGAAAGAGAAAAAAAUCAAUUCGAUAAAUCACAAGAAAUUUUGUUUGUCAAUGAAUUGCAUAUAUCACAUGUAUUGAGAAAGUGAGGCAAAAUGACGAUACCCUAAAAUAAUGAUGAUUAGUCCGUUACUUUUUUGACAUCCAAAUAAUUCAAAAAUUAAAAGUCACCUCAUCAUUCAGUUAAAGAGUUAAUGAAAUCUUAACUCUGAAACUAAAAUAUGUUCAUCUUGUUAAAAGCUUAGGGACUAAAACAUACUUUCUUAAAAGUUGAAAUCAAAAUAGAAUAAGAUACAAAUACAAAGUUAAUGAUCAAUAUAUGAUUUAAACAAAAGUAGUAAUUGUUACACAUAGGUUGUGCAAUGUAUUAUAAUAAUAUUUCAAUUUUAUUUAAAUUCAAUUUAACUAUUUUAUAUCUAAACCAUAAUUAAGAAAAUUAAGGUAAAUGAUUUUAAUAAAAUAGAUCUAUGAAAUUUGUGUAUUUGGGAUUACGAUAUAUAUUUUAGAGAAAAAUCAUAAAAUUACUAUUAUAAUUCUUCCCCAAAUGCAUAAUCAUAAUAUUACUAUUAUAAUUCUUCUCCCAAAAUUAUGCUAUUAUAACACUAAGACUAUCAUAGAUUACUUUUUUCUCCAAUCACCUCCUAAAAGACUAAAUAAAAGGGUAAAAAAUGUUCAAUGUAGUUUCAAUUUCAUCUAUAUAUUUUAAAAUUUUACAUUUUAAUUCGUUUAAUUUAGUUUUAGUUUUUAAGUUUGAAACGUUAUAUUUAUACUUUUGAAUUUAGUUUUGAUUAAGUUAGUGAAGUUGAAAAUGUAAAUUGUAGUUAGAAAUACAACCUUGAAAACAAUGUCUCCUAAAGACAUAGGAUCUAGCUUAAUGGCAUUAAACUUCCUUCAACCUAGAAAUUAGGAAUAAAGGUGUGGAAACCUCUUUAAACCCAUCCAAAUUUUCACAAUUUGAAAAGUUUAUUUGAAAAUUACAAAUUCUUUAUUUACAGUUAAAUUAAAAAAAUGAUUAAAAUGAGCCUAACUACAUGACAUUUCUUUCAUUUAAAAUGAACAUGACAACCACAUAGAUCGAGCAUGAUAGAUGGAAGGUGGUUAAUUAGAAAAGAAUAAGAUCAAUGAUUGUGGAUUUGGAGAAAAUUUGAGAAAUAUUUUAAUGAAUAAAACCAACUUUUACUUAAUAGAUGGUUGAAAUUGGUUUCAACAUUUACAAAAUGUAUCAAAAUUGGUUUGAUUUGAACACCUCAUCCCACCUACCAUUUCACACCUCUACUCUCACUCGUGAAAAAGAAAAUGUUUAAUUGAUAUAUAUAUCACAUUUUCUAAGUUUUGUUUGAGGGUGACGGCGAACUGUGGGUUAAAGGCUGUUUGAAUUCAUCCAUCCGCCUAAUUCUCUUCUCUAUAUUACCUAUAUUAAUAUUUACACAAACGAAAGCUUCAGAUUUCGAGGCCGGCGACAAAUUAGGGUUUUUUGCUUGUUGCUCUUUCUUCCCUACAGCUGCACGAUGAUCUACGAUGUCAACUCUCCCCUCUUCCGCUCUUUCCUCACCCAGAAGGGAGGAGGAGCUUACGACAGAAGGUCUGUACAACUCUUGUUUUCACCAUCUUUACAA